GCAUAUCUCUUCAAAGGAAUGAAGAAAUAAAGAGAUCCAUAAGGGAAGCCCAGAAUCCCACUGUUGAUAAGUCCAACGGAAAUCAGACAAUCUUUCUAAAGGUAUGAAAUGAUCAAUAAAAUGCAGAUUCCAGAAAA